rnacentral:rRNA from 1 species
AGGGUUCGAUUCUGGCUCAGGAUGAACGCUGACGGCGUGCUUAACACAAGCAAGUCGAACGGGAUCCCGGGGGUUCGCUUCCGGGUGAGAGUGGCGAACGGGUGAGUAAUGCGUGACCGACCUGCCCCAUACACCGGAAUAGCUCCUGGAAACGGGUGGUAAUGCCGGAUGCUCCGGUUGGAUGCAUGUCCUUCCGGGAAAGAUUCUAUCGGUAUGGGAUGGGGUCGCGUCCUAUCAGCUUGAUGGCGGGGUAACGGCCCACCAUGGCUUCGACGGGUAGCCGGCCUGAGAGGGCGACCGGCCACAUUGGGACUGAGAUACGGCCCAGACUCCUACGGGAGGCAGCAGUGGGGAAUAUUGCACAAUGGGCGCAAGCCUGAUGCAGCGACGCCGCGUGCGGGAUGGAGGCCUUCGGGUUGUAAACCGCUUUUGAUCGGGAGCAAGCCCUUCGGGGUGAGUGUACCUUUCGAAUAAGCACCGGCUAACUACGUGCCAGCAGCCGCGGUAAUACGUAGGGUGCAAGCGUUAUCCGGAAUUAUUGGGCGUAAAGGGCUCGUAGGCGGUUCGUCGCGUCCGGUGUGAAAGCCCAUCGCUUAACGGUGGGUCUGCGCCGGGUACGGGCGGGCUGGAGUGCGGUAGGGGAGACUGGAAUUCCCGGUGUAACGGUGGAAUGUGUAGAUAUCGGGAAGAACACCAAUGGCGAAGGCAGGUCUCUGGGCCGUCACUGACGCUGAGGAGCGAAAGCGUGGGGAGCGAACAGGAUUAGAUACCCUGGUAGUCCACGCCGUAAACGGUGGAUGCUGGAUGUGGGGCCCGUUCCACGGGUUCCGUGUCGGAGCUAACGCGUUAAGCACUCCCGCCGACAAGCUUCAGCCUAGA